rnacentral:rRNA from 1 species
GACGAACGCUGGCGGCGUGCCUAACACAUGCAAGUCGAACGGGGCCCGCAAGGGUUCAGUGGCGGACGGGUGCGUAACACGUGAAGAACAUGUCUUUCGGUGGGGGAGUAGCCGGCCCGAACCGGCCGGGUAAGUACCGCCAUACGCUGUUCGGGGCGUCAUGCCCUCGAAUCGGAAAGCAGCAAUGCGCCGAUAGAGUGCUUCGCGGCCUAUCAGCUAGUUGGUGA